rnacentral:lncRNA from 1 species
GAUCAUUCUUAGCUACGGGGAGGGCUAUGAUAGAUGUGCCCAAUGGAAGUGUUAUCUUUCACGCAGCUGAUGCGCAUGAGUCCUCUGUCUCUGUUCGUGUUAGGCGGUCUGUCACGCCCGCUGCGUUUGAUGUUCAUUGAGACCAUGAGGUAUCGUCGAGCUCUAGACGUUAAAUUAAGCACUUGUUGGGAGGUAACCCAACCGUUUUCUUUGUUUUGUUUUCUUUCUUUUAGUUUCUUUUUGUUUCUUUGUUUUCUUUGUUUUGUUUGGUGUUUUAGUGCAGUGUUGAGCUUGGAAGAUGCGGGAACUCGCGCCUUGUCCAUACUACCACCAUGGAGCAUGUUUUUCUGUGAGUAGUGACACACAUAUCAUCAUCCCUCCAAAC